UCUCCUUAGUCUCUUGUUCCUCUCCCUCUACAACUCUCUCUUUCCCUCCUCUCCUUCUACGUUCACAUUUGUCUGCCGCGCGCUCUCACAUUAUGCUGAGACAGACUUUUAUGUCAGUUCAUCUACGCACCAAUACCCUGAUGAAGAUGGAUGAGACACCACUCUUGAAACUGGAAUGCAGAGUUCCACUUUUGAAACAAGGAGAACGAGAUGGACAGUGAGAAGGUAGGAUAUGAUAGCGAAGAUGGAGUUCAGUAAGAAGUUGCUGCCUUCUAUAGUCUCUAUUGGAUGCUUGCUUUCUGGUUGGACAGUGCAGCAACAAAGACCACAUCUCCAGUGUAUUGCGCUCCCACUAGGAAAUGUGAAUGGUGGUAUGCAUGCUCAGCAGCAACAGCACGGCCGGCCAUCUAGAUUUUGCCUCUCACUGGCUCUCCCAGUAAAACAAAGAUUUAUCAAGUGGAUUGGAGGUAUUGAGAUCUGUGAACCAGUAGUGAAUACUACAGAAUAUAAGUUCAUGAAAAGUUCAGGCUGCGGCACAGGAAUGAGCAAUGCAAGAGAAGAGUCGAGAAGUCUAUGUUGUUCUUUAUUGAUAACCCAAAUCACAUCAUAAUUUUAGGGAAGCAAAUUUAUGCCCAACUCAACUGAACCAGAUGAUAAUUUCAGGGACCAGUUUUGCAUACAUUGCGGAGAGAAUUUACAGUGAACAAGCAGAAGAAGAGGAGAUCGUAGUCAAAGGACUAAUGAAUAGAAUAAAGCACUUUAGGGGAACUUGGGAGCAUGUGAAGGAAUUAUUUGUUGGUAGAGAAUUAGAUAGUGUGUAUGAUAAUGACCUAUUGAAGAACAAUGAAUGUCUCAAGAUGGACAGGACGAGUGAUGCUUAGGGAGAUUAUGAUGACCAGCGAGAAGACAGUGAUGAACGUAACGAUGAAGAAUCAAUGACUCCCAAUAUGGAAAAUGGUUCUGAAGAUGUAGAAGAUUUUGAAUUUGAACAAGGUCCCCAUCUGUUAUUUUUGGAUUGCACUUCUUCCAAUUGGAUCCUGACAUCAGUAUGGAUGAUUUUACACCAAAUACGUGUUAAUGGCCUCUUGUUCUUUUCCCUGUUUGCUUCUUCAUAUUUGACCCUUUAUUGAUUUAUUAUUUACUUAUGUGUCUCAUCAUAGAGAAAAACAAAGCCUGAUUAUAUUCAUCCCCUACUGAGAUGAAGGUUUGUUUAGCCUUAGGAUGCAAUGUCCUCCUUGUUGAUGAGCUAUGUAGGAGAAGAGUCACCAGUCCAACUCUGCUCUAUGCUCCAGGAGUGUAUCUGUACCUCCUUGGCCAUUUGUUUGAGGCCAAUUUGCAUCCAUCCCUACUAAACCAGAUGAUAUUUAUGAACUAUAAUGGAAUUUCUCUGACCAAAGUGAACAAAUUGAUAACAGGGGGAAGGAAUGGCUUGGUCUUUAAUAGGGUGACAGCUUCUGAGGAGAGAUUGAGGUUUGAAUGGUUGGGAUGCAAUUAGAUAAACAAAAUGCUGAAAUGCACAGUGAGAUGGAUAUAUGCCAGUGUUUCUUUGAUUUACACUCGAGCGUUUUACAUGCGGUCAUCAGCAUCAACUUGAAGGCCUUGUUGCCAAGUUGUGCCACUGUUGUACGUGCUAGUGCUGGUUUUGAGAUUGGUAGUGAGAUGCGUGCUAUCUAUAAUACUAAACUUGAGACGGAAGAGUGCUACCUUGAGAUUGAUGAGGAGACAUGCAAGGAUUUUAUAGAUUAUGAGCAUAAACAAGAGUGCCCCUUUGAGACGGUUGGAUGGCAGUUCUUCAACCUGGACCCAAAUACUGUUAUGGGAGCAUUGUUGGCUUGUGAGUUUUCCUUCCAUCUCUUUCUACUCUGUACUUGUUCCCUGUUUUAUUCUUCUAUAGUGGUGGGUUACUUGUUUAUCAUAUACAUUGUGGUCUUCCUUCAACGUUAAAGCUCCAUUCUAUUUGCCAAUGUGACGUAAAUCUUUUGAAGUAACUGCUGAAAAAUUAGUUACAAAUUAUAUGUUUUUAACUCUUGGUUUACUAUGCUAUAUGUGGCUUGGGGACAAUGACAAGCUGUAUGAGACUAUUCCACAAGAAAAGCUGCUUAAGACCUUUUGUGCUUAUUAUGUCAGAGUGGAA